AAAAAACACAGACCAUACUCACAGAGCUGAAGCUGAAGUUUGAGAUCACUGAGCAGGAAAAGCAAUCAAUCACAGAUGAACUCAAACAGUGUAAAGACAGCCUGAAGCUGCUACAAGAAAAAGGAAACCAUCCUUCCAUAUUACCACCCGUCCCAGCCGUAUUCAUCGGCCUAAUCCUGGCUUUCCUGUUUUGGUGUUACAGCCCAUUGUGGUAGAGAAAGAGACAAUGGCCUUGGAUGCCUGUGAUGGCAGCUUUGGUAGCGGUGACAGCCAUGGUGCUGUACCCAGGCCUAACCAGAGCUUCUCCAUGAGAACUGUUGUUGAAUCCAUACACCGUCUGCUCUUUAGAAGCUGGCAUCAUUCACACACUGGGGGAAAACCAGAUUUCAUUCUCUUCCUUUUUACCUCUUAAUACCACAGAGUUUGGCUUCCGAACAGCAGUAGGGUCGUUUGCUUUAAGCUGUACAAAACGUUUCUGUCUAUAAAGAGGGAAUAAAAUUAUUACUUCAUUCUAUCGUGAGCAAUAUCGUUGCUUACAAUUUCAUGUAAUUCUUUAAAAUAGUAUGUUGGAGUUCUAAAUACUGUUAUGGUGGCCUAAAGUAGGCUUCUUGGUACCAAAUUAUUUAUAAUGGUUAGGUGUGUGGGGUGUUUUACUUUAGAAUCUGAUUGCCAGAUUGAAAGCAGUGCAUUUUUUUCUGAUUGGGUCACCCAUGCCAAAUAUCCUUUAAAUACUUGGAAGCAGAUGCAGUGUGCUCAGUGCCUUUCAGUUUGACUUUAUUUGUACAUUAACAUACCAUUUUUUUUUACUUGCUGUGAGUCACUGAGCUAUGGGGAACAAUUUCUUUUUCCAAGUCUUUGGACGGAAACAAAUAUUUUUCUUCAGUAAAGGUCCUAUUGUAUUGAUGACUUGGGAAUGAGUAUAAUUCAUUGCCAGCCUUAAAGAGCUCUAGAAGCAACGGAAUGGGAAGCAUCCAUCUAGACUGUUCUUGUGUGCAGGUGUGUGCAUGUGUGUGCCUGAGUGAAUUAAGGGUUUUCUGGGAGCAAAAUUUUUCUGAUGGACAUAGUGCAGUGAUCCAACUUUUAGUUUGAAUGUAAUUUAUUAAAUCUCAUGUAUAUAGACACUAUAAGACUCAACAUAUUUUUCACAUAUCACAUUAUAGAAAUGAUUUUUUUUUCCAGUCACUUACUAUCAAAACUGAACUGGGAAAAUGAUGUUUGUCUCUUUACUUGUACUUUCAUUGGCAUAACUUCAUUAUGCGAAGUGCUCGAGUGCUUCUGUUUUUAGGGGAAGGGAAAAUGGAGAAAAAAAAAUCCAAAAUGGGUAAGCUUUCUGGAAGGUUAAAAUAACCUAAUUGGUCCUCUAUGCAACAACUUAAGCUGAAAGAAUGUGCUGUCAACAAUUAGAAGCUUUACAUCACAAUUCAAAUGGCCUUAACAUUAAUACCCUCUGUAAAUGUUGACUCCAGAAUGGGGGCAGCACUAAUUAAAACCUGAAUCAAGUGUUGGCUUGCACAGCAAAACAGCUCUGUUCAUUAAGGUCUAUACUGAUGUAAAAAGAAUUGCUAAUGAUAAUUGAAAUGUUUCAGCUGGUGGGUAAUUCAUAGGAAGGUUUUCUCAGCAAAACUUCCAGUGGUUUAGAGGGUUUAAUGGCAAUCCACAGAUCUAGUUGAAUAUUUAAAUAGGGUUUUUUAGUUUAUGAUUCGCCUUGGAGGUUUUGAGGGUCAUUUUCCUUUAAUGGUUCUGUCUAAAGCUAUUUGGGAUUUGUUAAUGGGAAGAUCACUAGAUUUAAGGGAAUGUUAGACCACAGACUCUUAGAAAAUAUCAUUUUUGUUCAUUAUUUUCAGUUGCAGGAAGCUGCCACCUAUCCACAAAACACACACAUGCCAGUGGUACACAGUACCUCUUGUAUAUAGGUUAUUGCAAAUAUUAUUCUGAAAAUGCUUAAAUUCAGAAUUACAUUUUUUAAAGUAAAUAAUUGUUUUAAAUCUAUUUUGUAAAGAUAUAAAAACCAAUAGAAUUUCUGGAGUACAGAUUGAACUAUUUGCACUAACACACGUGAUGUGCAUGAUUUAAUAAAAUAACUUUACU